AGUAAUUGUUUUAACUAUAAUGAUAAAUGAAUGAUGUUGUAUGCGUCCAGGAGGUCAGAAAAUGGUAAACACGGGAGGGUAAAUAUGGCGACGUGGUAGUUUAUUGGGGGUAAUGUUACCAGUGGGGUUCCUCGCGGUUCAGUUUUAGGCCCGCUUUUAUUCAUUAUCUACAUCAAUGACAUAGACAAUGGGAUAACUUGUGACAUAGGUAAAUUUGCAGAUGACACCAAAAUAGGACGCACUAUUAGGACAGGAGGAUGCUAGAGCACUGCAGGAGGAUCUCAACAAACUGUCAGCUUGGUCAGAGAAAUGGCAGAUGAAUUUUAACAUCACCAAGUGUAGCGUACUUAGUGUAGGAACACGCAACCCAUUACACGGGUAUAGUUUAGACUCCACAGCGAUAGGCAGGUCUGAGUGUGGAAGGGAUUUGGGCCUGUUCCCAGGGUGAGGCAGGUCACUAUAAGCCCCCUGCCCCCCCUGCUCUAGGGUGAGGCAGGACACAAGGUCCCCUGCCCCCCAAGCCCUGCUCCCAGGGUGAGGCAGGACACUAAUGGCCGGAUUGUUAAACCCUUCCUCGCCCAAGCACACAUAUUUGACAAGGCUUUCAUAGGAGUUGUGGGCCUUUCCAGAGGUAAUUUAAUAACCCUAAUGGUAGUUUGACCCUUCUUCUGUACCAUGAACCUAUAAAAACACUCAUUAGAACCCGACUGAUCUCCGCUUUGGCCUUUGGAUAUUGUUGAUGUGAGAGGCAGGGUCGUCUAAGAAUACCAACCUCAGCCCCCUGCCACUCCUGCCCCAGGGUGAGGCAGGACACAAGGUCCCCCCCUGCUGAAAUGCCUGCAUUUUUCUCUUUACAACACUCCCACACGACCACCACGUGUAACGAAACACACGAGAAAUUAAUCCAGACAAGGAAAGGUUUGCCGGCGCCGGGGAUCGAACCCGCGACCAGCGUAACGGGUGAGCCACUCCUUUACCAGUCGGCCAAAGAGGUACCCCCCUGGCUAAGUGGGUUAUGGGAGGCUCGCCCAUCAGGCAAGUCGUGUCACUACACUGCCCCUGUGUCUACCACCCAAGCCCUGCCCCCCAGGGUGAGGCAGGACACAAGGUCCCCCCCUCUGCCCCAGGGUUAGGCUGCCACAGAGUGAAACAAAGACUUGUUAAAAUUAGCAUACAGCUUUUAAUAUUUAUACAUUAUACAAAUUAUUUUAAAUGCUUUCAACAUUGUGAAACACAGCUAUACAAUGUCAAUGUAUAUUACAUCAGAAUAUCUGUACACUGCAUCAAAAUUAAAUUAUAAUACUCCAUACUUAACAGUUUCCAAACAGAAAAUGCUGCAUAGCUACCAGUGCUGAAGCCAACACCAACCAAACCCUAAGUGCUGCUGUACAGGAGGUGCUCAGCAGGACUGUGCUGCACACACCACCCAGGCCAGGCACAGGCCAAGCCAUAAAUGCUUUCUUUACAGGUGUUCAGCAGGACUGUGCCAUCCCAGGCACAUGCCAAAUCCUAAAUGCUGUACAGGUGUUCAGCAGGAUUGUGCUGCCCCAGCCACAAGCCAAACCCUAAAUACUGUACAGGAAGUGUUCAGCAGGACUGUGCCACACACACCACCCCAGCCACACACAAAACCAGACAAACUUCCAAGACAGACUUUACAUAUAUAUAUAUAUAUAUAUAUAUAUAUAUAUAUAUAUAUAUAUAUAUAUAUAUAUAUAUAUAUAUAUAUAUAUAUAUAUAUAUAUAUGCUAGGCAUCACUAUGUUAAGCGAGUUCCCAUGAAAGCAUAGGCUUCUUUCUGAUGCUGUUCAGUCUCCUGCAAAUCUCUGGACCAGUGUCCUCUUUCUCUUCUGUCAGGCUGUGCAGGCAGUGGCAGGGUGGCUGGCAGGCUGCACACAGCCACAGUGUCAGCCAGGCCAGCAUGCAGCACACUGUGUGGCAGCCACUGAGUCCUGCACAAAGCACUGUGGGAGGGUGGGACAAACCCUUGACACAGUUCCCUGCUGAGGGGCGCCAUGGGCUGAGGAGCGCCAGGGUGCUGAGGGGCACCAGGGUGGGUGCUGCCCGUGUUCAGGCCACUUGGGGGGGUGGUGUGCAGCAGCCUGAACAGAGCACCGCACCACCAGGCUGUGCUGACCACCACAGCAGCAGCAGGGCAGCAGCCAGGGGUGGCCUCAGCCCGCCGCCUGGAUGGUCUUCGUUGUGGCAAGGCUCUGGGUAAGGCAGCACAGCUUUUGCACGGCUGUGGCAAAACCCUGAGGCAAUAAGGCAGCACAGCUGACUCUGCACGGCUGAAACUUGGAAGGUCACCUCCCCGAGUUCCUGAGUCUGCUGCAACGCUGCUCCAGACAAAGCCAGGGCCGCCUGGCCAGCCAUGCAGCCUCAGCAUUGUCCAGCCCUGACGAAGCCCUGCUGUCAGCCACGGCCACACAGCCGGCCUUCCUUGGUGUGUGUCCUGCGCCGGCCACACGCUGUGGUGUCCUGCACCGGCCACACGCUGCCUGUGGCUCAGGUUCUCUGUGUGGGGAGCUGAGGGCCAACAUGCCAACAGGUGCAGCCACAACACAGUGCAGGUAUUGCUGUGAUACACAUAAUCUUGCCCCACACACCGUUAUAAAGACAAGUACAAGCUAAAUGAUAAAAUAACAACUCUAUAUAUAGUUGGGUGUCAACGAAUGUCUCGCAAAAAACUGCUCCUCUGUGACACCACAACCAAGCUGGCCACGACCACACCCUGAUGGCCGCCACCCUGGCCACGCCAGGCAGCAGCUUGCGGCCCGGCCCACCGCAGACCCCCCACAGCCCAGACACCUCACAGCACCCACACCCUCACCGGGCCACAGGGGCUGCCGAGGAGGCGUCCACCGCACAGCUGCCUCCCCUCAGGAUGACAACUAAGAGUGAAUGUCCUCCAGAGAUUCUUGGCAGCUCCACAGCCAGCCAGCAUCCUGGUGUCUGUCUGUCUGUCUGUCUGUCUGUGGCCUUGGCAGCAGGAGUAGCAGAAGCAGCUCCCAGCAGAUGUCCCUCACCCCUCACCAACACCCCUCUCCCCUCACAGACUCACCACUCCAAGGCUACUCAUCCCUCAAGGGCAACUCCAACCAGGCAGGAAAUGUACAGCAGGAGUGAGUUCUGCAGGCACACACACACACACACACACACACACACACACACACACACACACACACACACACACACACACACCGGCACUAUGGCUAAGGAAUGAAUGAGUGGUGAGGAGGUGUGGGGGGAGGGGGGAAGGGGGAUCUGCUUAUAGUCUCAGGGUGUGGCCAGGGCUCCGGGGGGGUGAGGGGGGUGCCAAGUGGUGUAGCUGGCACUGUUUGACCAGCCUGGCACACAGAGAGCAGUGUAAAGGCCUCGACACAUUACGACGCGUCCAGAGUAACUAAGCGAUAUAUGAAAAUACAUUUAUGCAACAGACAGACAGUUGUUGUUGUUGUUGUUCUUGGCCUCUCCAUCAUUUUCCUGGCUAGAAAAUACAUGUGAAAGCUCAAGUCCCUCUGAAGAUGAUGUGUGUGUGUGUGUGUGAGUGAAUGAGACAGUAACAUGCUGCGGUGAACACGGCAUAAAAAAAUAUCCUCUCAAUGGGUCUCCUUAAGUCUCCUACAAAGCUAUGGUAGUGAGUGUGUGUGCCGUAACAAAUGCAAACGGAGAAGCUUUGAUUUGUUUCUCAUUUGUCUGAGUUGGCACAUGAGAGGUAAGGGAAAGGUUCUGUACACAUUGAGGACUAGAUAACAGGGUGGCAAGGCAGGACCUCGCUAGCAUGCUACGCCUUAACCCUUCCCCGGGAGGAGGGGCGUCUCCUUCCCAGCGUCAGCCCACUCCACAAGGCCCGACACCCACUGGCCUGUCUGUGGCACAUGGGCCGUGGCUGGGCCAGUGUCAGCCUUCAUGUCUGUGGCACGGCUGGUGGUGGGCAGCAGGUGUGUUUUCAAGCACAAGUUAGUGAGUGUUUGAGGUGGAGCAACACUGGAGGGUGAGGUGUUGCAGUCACCACCUCAGCCUGGCCAAGGGAGGGCAGUGGAUACCUCACCCUCUGUUCCAUAAUGUCAGUGUUCCCCUGCCGUGGCUGUGUCUGCUGCUGCGUGGGCCACAGACAGGUGGACACCAGCCACAUGGUUUCUUUCUCACAGACCAAUCAGCAGGCUUUGGUUCAGCCCCAACACAGCAGUUCUCCUCCUGGAAGGGUCCGUCCACAGGUCCGCUACAGAUACUGACGUUCUGAAUAUCAGAAGUCGCCUGCACGGGCCGCUGCCGGGUGUGGCGUCCUCUGGCCCGGGCAGGGAGGGAGGGAGGAGGAAGGGAGGAAGGCGGUUCCUUAGGCUUCUACAGUAAAUGCAACUUGGCCCAAUGUUGAACUUUGCAAAUCUUUGGAAUGUUGUCUCUAAAUUAACUACAUUAACAGUAACGUCCUAAUGGAGAGGAAUAAAAGCAAAUAUUUAGAUACCCUUAAUAUCAUCCUUAAGUAGACUUCUGGAACACUCGGCUUUAGAGUAUAAAAAUAAAAACAAAGACACGUAAUGGAGUAUACAGGCGGACUCUGUGCAGGGCGGGGCGGGGCGGGGACGCGGCAGAGAAGCGCAGGCGGGACUCAGCGGCCCCGACACACUAGGCAACACAGAUAAGACAAAACUGCUCGGGCUAUGAGUGAGGCAAGAAUGCAAGGGUGGGCGCUGGGUGAUGGAGGGCAACACCACCACCACACAGGGGGGGGGGCUGGCAGACACACCCACAAACAAUGAACACAGAACAAAGAGAUACUUGGGAAAACAAUAUUAAUCUGCUUUUUGGUAUUUACUCAGCGAUGUGCGUGUUGGCUUGUGCUGUGUGUGUGUGUGUGUGUGUGUGUGUGUGUGUGUUUACCUAGUUGUAGUAUACAGGACCUGAGGGUGUGUGUAUGUGUAUGAGUGUAAGUGUGUGUGUGUGUGUGUGUGUGUGUGUGUGUGUGUGUGUGUG